ensembl:lncRNA
UGUGUGUGUCUGUGUCUGUGUGAAUCUGUGUCUGUGUAUGCGUGUGCGUGUGUCUGUGUCUGUGUCUGUGUGUGUGUGUGUGUGUGUGUGUGUCUGUGUCUGUGUCUGUGUGAAUCUGUGUCUGUGUGUGUGUGUGUGUGCGUGUGUGGACAUAUACGUGUGCCUGUGUGCUUGUGUGCUAUGCACAUGUUUGGUGUGUGUGUGUGUAUGCUAUGCACUUGUUUGGUGUGUGUGUGUAUGCUAUGCACAUU